rnacentral:rRNA from 1 species
CUUUUUGGAGAGUUUGAUCCUUGCUCAGGACGAACGCUGGCGGCGUGCCUAAUACAUGCAAGUCGAGCGGACUUGACGGAGCUUGCUCCGUUCAGGUCAGCGGCGGACGGGU